rnacentral:lncRNA from 7 species
CACGUUGUGAUGCGCGCGCGACAACUGGGGAGAAAAGGUUCCGCUUCCGCCGUUCCGCGGUGGAGUAGGAAAACGCUCUCCUGUCGCGCGCGAGCGUAGCCCGCCCAGGCCCAGCGACGUGCAGUGGCAAUGUGGCAUCACGCACGCACUUCCUUUCUAGUGGUCCGUCUACUGUCGGCGCAGCCGCACAGGUAGGCAGCCUACGGCCUACGGGGGCAUCUAGGUGAUCUAGCUCGCAGCGUAGCGUGAGCCAGCCAGGCGGCCCAGGCCUCCGCUCCGUCCACUCUCCUGCUCUACGCGGCUCGAACGCCAGCUGCUGCCGGUACUGUGGCAUAGUGUACGGUACAGACAGAACAGCAGCGUUGACCCCCCGCCCGGGUCGUGGACACUUCCGCGCCCUCGCUUUCCACACCGUCGCCCGGGGAGCGGGGACACGGCUUACGUCGCCGUCAGCUCCCUCCACCUCCAGUCCACCGCCGCCGAUACCUUCCCGCCUGGUUUCUCACGCAUGCUCGCGUGAGUCGCGUAGGCGUCACGGGCGGUGGUGUUGUCUGUUGUGCUGGCCGGCUCUGGCAGUGGCAGUCCCGCGCCGGGGGAUUGGGCCACCGGAAGAAGUCACGCGGGCUGAGCUCUGCGUCGGUUCUGAUGGACAUGGACCCAUGAUAGCUGAGCCUGAGGAAAGGAUACUGGGCCGUGGAAUGGAUUCGGGAUAGUAGUGCGAUGCAAUUUUAAUCGAAAGUACUGGUGUCUGUGUAUUACAACG